UACACUUUGGCAGCACUAGAGUAAAAUAGGAACAAUACAGAGAUAGUAUGGCCCCUAUGCAAGGAUGACGUGCAAAUUCGUGAAUCAUUCCAUAUGUUU
rnacentral:snRNA from 1 species